CGAUGGGUGAAGGUCGCGCCGCCGCGGAGGCAAGGGAUGAUGGUCGUGCGGCACCAGACGAUGGUUGUCUGCCUAAUCUUCCUUGUGAUUUAUUUGGGAAUCUGCAGCCACCGCCCGUCGUAGGUAAUUCAGGUUGAGUUUAGUCCGCUGCUAACCAAAUUUUCAGGUUCAACUUCGUCCGUACAUAGUUAAGCAGUAAAAUGUUCAGGUUUAGGUUGAGGGUCUGCAAAUUGUCCAUGCGUGUACAGGUUCAGCUUCAGUUUAGUUCACAAUAUUUAUUUGCUUGCACAUGCGCGUACGACCUGAACAAAUUGCCCAUGAUUUCUAUAGAUUUCAUGCAUUCUGAUCACACACACACACACACACACAAGCAAGUGCAGCUAUAAAUCCAGAAAACUUGUAGUAGUUUGUAGCAUAGAAUACAUUGUUGUGCAAUAUAGCACACAGAAGAAGGCUGUGCAGUUUGUAGUAAUUCUUUCAUUAGUAGUAAUUCUCUCAACUUUUCCAUCUACAAAAUUUGUUAUUGUUGUGCAAUUUGAUCAUCUGAUUAUACAUGUAUGGAAGAUAAAUUGGGUGGUUUGCGAUGGCACAAUCUGAUAAGGGGAUGCCUCUAGUUGGCAUGUUAUUCAAAAGUUCAGAGGAGGCUUGGCUAUUUUGAAGAACCAUUUGAAAUCUGAUUUUCACAUUGUUAGAUUUUUGAAACAUUUUGCAAGGAUAGUGGAGGUAAAAAGAAACAAAGAGCUGGAAUCUGAAUUUGAAGCAAGAACAAACAUACCCGGAAUCAAGAUGAGCAUGCCUAUGUUGGUACAAGUAAGCAACGUUUACACUCCAAUUGUUUUUGAAACUUUCCAAAGUGAGUAUGAAAGAUCCAUGGUUGCAUGCACUAGAUUAUUGGAUGAAAACAAGUAUGUUGUUACUAUUGGUAGUUUGUAUGGUGAUUUAACUUUUGAAGAUGGGCGUAUAGUGAUAGGUGAUCCUUUGAACCAAACAGCAAUACGUAGUUGCAAAAUGUUUGAAAGGAUAGGAAUAUUGUGUGGAUAUGGAUUGAGAGUGCUCGAUUUGAUGAACAUAAAAACAUUGCCAACACAUUAUAUCUUGAAGAGAUGGACUAGGGAAGCACGUAAAGGAAGCAUAUUGGGUAGGCAAGGAAGGAAUGUGGUAGAGAAUCCAAAGCUGGAAGCUCUGCUUCGUUACAAGGGACCAUUUCAUAAAUUUCAUGACAUGUCAUAUAAAGUGGCCUACUCUACAGAAUGUUGCUUGAUAUUAGAAAAUGCACUUGAUUGCAUUGGUCCAUAGUUGGAGGAAAAACUCAAUGCAUCUACUAGCGACAUGAAUGAACCUAGUAAGGCCUAGGAAAAUGAUGACCCAAAUAUGCAGCAAGGAGAUGACUUGCUAAGAGCUGCACGACUGAAUAAAAAGGAGGUUCAAUCAAAAAAUUCAAAAAGAAAGAAAAGUUGGCUUGAUAAGUUGCACAAGGGCAAGCGCAAGGUAACUAAACCUCCUGCUUCAACCAAAAAAGGAGCAAAGGUAUAUUCUAAUCUCGCAUAACAAGAAACUAUUUUCAUCUAUUAAUACCCCAAUUAGUGGAACUUUCAUCGGCAGCAAAAUAGAAAAAGGAUGAUGUGCAGCCGAAAGUAGAUGUGGAGAAUGACAAAAAUGCACAGGAGCUCUCGGGUGCUACGCCCCCCUAUAUUCAAAAAUAACUUAGUAAUUCAAGAAAGUCAAAAAUUCCCGGAACUUUUUAUGGAAUAAAACAUGACCAAGUAUUGCACUCAUAUAAAAAGAUUAAAUAGGAAAUGGCUUUUAUUGUAUCCGGGGUCAAAGAUUUCCCAAAAACUGCUUGAUACAAGUACUAUUCAUGCUAUAUUGCCGUCAUAAAUUUGUUUUUUUGCCCUGAAGUCAACGAGAAUUAUUCCUUGGCCAAACUUUUUAUAUGAGUACAAUACCUAGUCAUAUUUGGUUAAAAAAUAUAUCCAGGAUUUUUUUGACUUUUUUUGAGUUAUUAAAUUAUUUUUUAAUAUAGGGGGGUGGAGCACCCGAGUGCUCCUAAUCCGCUUCCUGGAGAAUGAUGGCAACAAGAGAAGCCCAAAUGCAGAGAAUGCAAAGUACAUUGCUAUUGAGAGCUUUACUCAGCUCCUAACAGCUCCCCCUACUUGUGGUGAUGAUAGUCUUUAUGAUGGAAAUUUCCGCUAAUGACUGGAUGUUGGUUACAUGGUGCUUCGGGGUUAACUAUAGUUUUUUUGGAAAUAUUUGGGGGAUAACUAGUCUUUUGUGGCCUAAGUGUAUAAGUGAAAUGGCGUAUUAUGUAGCAGACUUGGAUGAUUGAUCAUCAGUAGUACUUGUUGCUACAAAAUUUGAAUCAUAUGCUUCAGACUUCCAAUGUCAUGUGCUUGAAAAUUGCAGUACUAUGCUACAAAAUUGUUGAAUAUCAAGUGCUUGCAAAUUACGAUGUUACCUUGUUCAUAUUUCCUUCUCUGAUUGCUUCAGAUUGUGCAUGUUAAGUGGUACAG
rnacentral:lncRNA from 1 species